UGUAGUUUUUGGUUAGUGCCUGUUGGUC
rnacentral:piRNA from 1 species